GCUGGUUCUUAGAGAACUGGAGUAGAACCAGCACCAGAACCAGCACCUGGUUAGCCUUGGUGGAAAAGACAUAACCGUGAUAGCUGUUACAACUAGAAGGGCACUCGUAGAGAGCAGACCAGGCCAAAGUACGCCCGAUGUCGCAAUGUUAACGAAAUAAAUCAUGAUUUGUGUUUCUGUCCGAUGAUUCAGAUCCAAUCCAAAAUAUAAUGGGUUCUUUCUUCGGCCAACGCUACACCCCGUCUACCAAGGAUCAGGGAAUUGGGGCAGUAGUUUUUCCGUACUUCUGUUGACAGACAGACAGACAGGCAGGCAGACAGACAGAAGGACAGAGACAGACAGACAGAAGGACAGAGACAGACAGACAGAAGGGCAGAGACAGACAGCAAGAAGGAUAGACAGACAGAAGGACAGAGACAGACAGAAGGACAGACAGACAAGCAGGCAGGCAGGCAGAAAGACAGAAGGGCAGAGACAGACAAAAGGACCGAGACAGACAGCAAGAAGGAUAGACAGA